rnacentral:rRNA from 1 species
AACGAACGCUGGCGGCAUGCCUAACACAUGCGAGUCGAACGAGACCUUCGGGUCUAGUGGCGCACGGGUGCGUAACGCGUGGGAACCUGCCCUUAGGUUCGGAAUAACUCCCCGAAAGGGGUGCUAAUACCGGAUAAUGUCUUCGGACCAAAGAUUUAUCGCCUUUGGAUGGGCCCGCGUUGGAUUAGCUAGUUGGUAGGGUAAAAGCUUACCAAGGCGACGAUCCAUAGCUGGUCUGGGAGGAUGAUCAGCCACACUGGGACUGAGACACGGCCCAGACUCCUACGGGAGGCAGCAGUGGGGAAUGUUGGACAAUGGGCGAAAGCCUGAUCCAGCAAUGCCGCGUGAGUGAUGAAGGCCUUAGGGUUGUAAAGCUCUUUUACCCGGGAUGAUAAUGACAGUACCGGGAGAAUAAGCUCCGGCUAACUCCGUG